GUUUACGACUCAAGGAAUGCAUGGAUACCAGCAGAUGUCCACAUCCCUGCGGUUCUUUCUCUGUCAGUAUCCUUGGAGGGAAAGUUUUCUCUGUCAGUCAUCUUAGAAGGAGAACUUGGACACGGUGGCUUUGGAUUAGGAGCCCUCCACAAAGGGCUAGUCUAGCCCAGCCUGGGGGGGAAGCUUAGGGGGAGCGGCUACAAGACCAAAGGGGAGGAAACACCAGAAGCCACAGAGAAAGGAACAGGUGCUGAGAGAGAGAAAUGCUGCUGGCCUCCAGGCAACAAUCAAAAUUAAGGAAAUGCUCAAAUAAAUGACAGGAUGGGGGCAUCUGGAAAGAACACAGGAACCAACCUGGGGGAGCCCUCAGUGGCCAAAGCUGGAACAAUCUGACCAAUACAAUAAAUAAUGUAGUGUUGGGUUGUUACCCAAAACAUAAAAAUUGAUGUUUGAAUAAGUAAGUAAAUGGGGGGAGGGGAUCCUCCUUUCCCCAAAAUUUCAUUUAUCUUAUGUAGAUAUUCCUCCUGGGGGAUGGAGCUUCUUUGUUCCCUUUCCACACAUGAGAAUGAACUUAACUUAGUGAUGAACUCCAAAGAACAGAGUUUGUAAAGGCAAAAAUAGUAAUACUAGAGACGCCUGGGUGGCUCAGUCGGCUAAGUGUCUGACUUGGGCUCAGGUCAUGAUCUCACAGCUCUCUGCUCUCAGUGUGGAACCUGCUUCAGUUCCGUUUGUCUCCCUCUCUUUCUGUCCUUCCCCAGCUCAUGCUUUCUCUCUGUCUCAAAAACAAAAAAUACAAAAAAUAGUAAUAUUACCGUGGAGAAACUGUGUACCUUAGCCAUGUGAUCAAGGUAAACAUCACCAGUGAUGUGUAGAUUUAUGUGCCACCUGCUAUGACGCAAAGAGAAGCCACUUCACCUCUGUGGUAUUCUUUCCAGAGGCUCAGAGCUCUAGUCUAGUCAUGAGAAAAAUGUCAGUCAAACUGAAAUUGAGUGGUAUCCUAUGAAAUACCUGACCACUAUUGCUCAAGGUAUUCACACAAGGAAAGCCUGAAACACUGUCACAGAUUGGGGAAGACUCAGGGACAGGAUAACUAAAUGCAGUGUGAUUCCCUGGAUUGGAUCCUGGAGGAGAAAGAGGACAUUAACAGAAAAAUCCAGUGAAAUCCAGAGUUUAUUUAGCAGAAAUGUCCCAAUAUUUGUCUCUCAGGUUUGACAAUGUAUCAUAUAUUGACCUACAUAAAAAGGUAAACUGAGGUGAGCUCAAAUUACCAGAAACUGGGUUUAUUCGGAACGAGUGGAGGAAUUGCCUUUCAGGAAAUGCAUGCUAUAGCAAGCUACAGGCGUGUCUUCUGAGAGUUUGGGCAGACUGAUUUAUGGGUGAGGGGUGCAAAGAGAAGGCAGUCCAGCCAGAGUCCAAGCAGUAAGUUCGUUGGCUUGAGGAUGGGGAGAUGAUCUUUGUGGAUGUUCAUUGGUCAGGACAUAAGUCUCAGUCUUCUGUAAAUUGGGCAUUUAUGGGAAAACAGUCUUUCAGUUCCUAAGUUCCAUUCUUCUUUUUUUUUUUUUUUUUUUUAAUUUUUAAGGUU